GAGUGAUCUAUCCAUGGGCAGGUUGAAGCGGGGGUAAGACCCCGUGGAGGACCGAACCGACCUAGGUUGAAAACUGGGCGGAUGACCUGUGGAUCGGAGUGAAAGGCUAAUCAAACUCAGAGAUAUCUGGUUCUCCCCGAAAUAUAUUUAGGUAUAGCCUCAGGCGUUCAAUAGCGGUUGUAGAGCACUGUUUGGUCUAGGGGGCCUACCAGCUUACCGAAAUCAGGCAAACUCCGAAUGCCGUUAUUCCAGAGCCUGGGAGUCAGACUGCGGGGGAUAAGCUUCGUGGUCGAAAGGGAAACAGCCCAGACCGUCGGCUAAGGCCCCUAAUUCCAUGCUAAGUGGGAAACGAUGUCCGAUUGCACAGACAACCAGGAUGUUGGCUUAGAAGCAGCCACCAUUCAAAGAGUGCGUAACAGCUCACUGGUCAAGUGGUCGGGCGCGGACAAUUCAACGGGGCUCAAGCAUGGAGCCGAAGCCACGGACUUCACGCAAGUGGAGUGGUAGGGGAGCGUUCCCAAGCCGGCGAAGCGGCGGCGGCAAGCCAGCCGUGGAGGCUUGGGAAGUGAGAAUGCUGGCACGAGUAACGAAAGGCGAGUGAAAAACUCGCCCGCCGAAUGUCCAAGGGUUCCUGAGUAAAGCUAAUCUGCUCAGGGUUAGUCGGGACCUAAGCCGAGGCCGAAAGGCGUAGGCGAUGGAGAACAGGUUGAUAUUCCUGUACCACGUCCCAACCGCUAUCACCGAUGGCGGGACGGGGUAGGCUAGGGGAACCCAGGCGAUGGUCGACCUGGGGUAACCGCGUAGGACGGGAGAUAGGUAAAUCCGUCUCCCAUACAGUCUGAGACGGGAGUCCGAGGCCUCACGGCCGAAGUCCUCGAAGCCAUGCCUCCUAGAAAAGCGUCUAGGGAGGUUGGACGUGCCCGUACCAAAACCGACACAGGUGGACAGGUAGAGAAUACCAAGGCGAUCGGGAGAACCCUCGAAAAGGAACUCGGCAAAAUGGCCCCGUAACUUCGGGAGAAGGGGCGCCACAGUAGGGUGAAAUCCCUUUACGGGAUUAGCCUGAGGUGGCCGCAGUGAAACGGCCCAAGCGACUGUUUACCAAAAACACAGGUCUCUGCGAAGUCGAAAGACGACGUAUAGGGGCUGACUCCUGCCCGGUGCCGGAAGGUCACGCGGAGAGGUUAGCCGUAAGGCGAAGCCUUGAAGCCAAGCCCCGGUAAACGGCGGCGGUAACUAUAACCGUCCUAAGGUAGCGAAAUUCCUUGUCGGGUAAUCGAAUUGCCCGAGCUGGGAGCGAUCCCAGCGACAAACCGGCUAAUAACGGGGAAGCCCUCCUCGUAUGCGGCGCUUCAAGGACGCCGUGACAGCGAAAGGGUAAUCCCGUGGGAAGUCACUCCUCGGAGUUGACCCCGUAACGACUGAUUGUCCGAAAUGGACAUGAGAUCGCAUUCCGUCCGGCAUCACCGCGACAAUCCAUGAAUGCGAUCAGACGCCGGCCCUUGGUUCAGUCGCGAGUUCCUCUCGGCAUACAUCUCCGGAUAUGCCGACGGCGAAGGCUGCUUCACCGUUUCCAUCGCACCCAGGGCGACGCUCCGGGUUGGGUGGGAGGUGAGGCCGGGCUUCUCCGUCAGCCAGAACGGAGAUCGCGCCGAGGUGCUUCACGCGAUCCAGUCGUACUUCGGAUGCGGUCGCAUCCGGCCUGAUCGCAGCGAUCGGACGCUCAAGUGGGAGACACGUCGCCUCGAGGACAUCCUCGAGCGCGUCAUGCCUCACUUCGAGCGGUUCCCGCUGCUGUCGGGCAAGCGGUACGACUACGAACGGUUCGCGUCCGUCUGCCGGUUGAUGUCGGCAGGCGCGCAUCGUCGUCGCGACGGUCUCAUCGAGAUCGUCGAGCUCGCGCGGAUGAUCAAUCCGAGCGGUCGCCGGCGCUACGACGCGGAAGCGCUACUCGCGAGUCUGCUGCUCCAAGGUGAAGGGAUAGUCUGCGCCUCCGGAAACGGAGGGGAAACGCGAAGUUCCGACCUGCACGAAUGGAGUAACGACUUGGGCACUGUCUCUUCGAGGGACCCGGUGAAACUGUAGUCUCGGUGAAGAUGCCGAGUACCAGAGGUUGGACGGAAAGACCCCGUGAACCUUUACUACAGCUAGAUGUUGGAGUUCGGGGUACGUUGUCCAGGAUAGGUGGGAGGCUGUGAAACGGGGGCGUCAGCUCUCGUGGAGCCAACCUUGGGAUACCACCCUUCGUGUUCUGGGCUUCUAACCCGCUGCCGUAAUCCGGGGCGGGAACAGCAUCUGGUGGGUAGUUUGACUGGGGCGGUCGCCUCCCAAAAUGUAACGGAGGCGCGCAAAGGUUCCCUCAGCACGGUUGGAAAUCGUGCGUAGAGCGCAAAGGCAUAAGGGAGCUUGACUGCGAGAGCGACAGCUCGAGCAGGGACGAAAGUCGGCCUUAGUGAUCCGGCGGUAACUGGUGGACGUGCCGUCGCUCAACGGAUAAAAGGUACUCCGGGGAUAACAGGCUUAUCCUUCCCAAGAGUCCACAUCGACGGAAGGGUUUGGCACCUCGAUGUCGGCUCGUCGCAUCCUGGGGCUGGAGUAGGUCCCAAGGGUUGGGCUGUUCGCCCAUUAAAGCGGUACGCGAGCUGGGUUCAGAACGUCGUGAGACAGUAGACCAUUGCUGUCUAUAAAUCUGGCUAUGUGCUGGAAACUCCGAGCAUCCUGCACUACUCAGCGUUGACGUCCGGCCGGGCGUUUACGCUAGUGACAACGUGACAGGUGCGGACAAUCAGCAGGAAAGGCUGGAUGGCUACAUCGCGGGUUACGUCGACGGAGAAGGCAGCUUCUCGGUCUCGGUGCAACGCAGUCCGACGUGUCGUGUCGGGUUUCAGUUGGUUCCUGAAUUCCAUGUCAGCCAAAUCGGCGACAGGGCGCAGGUUCUCCAUCUGAUCCAGGCGCAGCUCGGGUGCGGUCGCAUUCGACCGAACAGCCGCCGCGAUCAGGCGUUGGUGCUCGUCGUGCGAAAUCGGCACGACCUGCUCGAGCGUGUGAUCCCCUUCUUCGAACGAAACCCGAUGCUCUCGUCGAAGCACGCGGACUUCGAGAAGUUCGCGGUGGUCGUGCGAGCGCUUGCUCUAGGCCACCAUCGCACCGAUGCCGGCUUUCGCCGGCUGCUCGAGAUCGCUCUCUCCAUGAACGGCGAGGGACGGUUUCGGAAGGUGCGCUGGAACGAGCUCGUAGCUGUCCAGAAUCCUCAGAGACUGCACGCCAGACAGGGCCGCGUGGCCCGGAAGAUACAGUCCGAGCUGCAUGGCGACAUGCAGAGUCAGGCAGAAAUGACCUGGCCCCCGAGCGCCGCUCGGGUGUAACAGAACUGUCGGUCCCUAUCCACCAUGGGCGUUGGAGGCUUGAGAGGAGUCGUCUCUAGUACGAGAGGACCGAGACGAACGGACCUCUGGUGUAUCAGUCGUCGCGCCAGCGGCGCUGCUGAUUAGCCACGUCUGGACGGGAUAACCGCUGAAAGCAUCUAAGCGGGAAGCCCACCUCGAGAUGAGGCCUCCCAUCUCCUAGAGAGAGUAAGAGCCGUGGAAGACCACCACGUCGAUAGGCGGGACGUGCACGCACAGCAAUGUGUUCAGCGGACCCGUACUAAUUGCUCGAGGUCUUGAUUUA
rnacentral:rRNA from 1 species